AAUUUGAACAUAUCAGGCAUCUGUGUUAUGUGCCAACAAGAAUUGGAAACUAGAGAUCAUCUAUUUCUGCAUUGCACUUAUGCUUCCCAGUUGAGAUAUCAAACAAUGCAAUGGUUGGGAAUUGAAGACUGGACAAGUUUGGAUACAAUUCUGCCACUGGAUCAUCAUACAGUCCAAAGGGAAAUCUCUCCGAGCUACACAUUCAAG
rnacentral:lncRNA from 1 species